rnacentral:rRNA from 1 species
ACGGCUCAGUAACACUUGGAUAAUCUGCCCUUGGGUGGAGGAUAACCUCGGGAAACUGAGAAUAAUACUCCAUAGGUCUAGGAUGCUGGAAUGCACUUAGAUUGAAAGUUCCGGCGCCUAAGGAUAAGUCUGCGGACUAUCAGGUUGUAGUCAGGGUAAAGUCCUGACUAGCCUACAACGGAUACGGGUUGUGAGAGCAAUAACCCGGAGACGAUAUCUGAGACACGAUAUCGGGCCCUACGGGGCGCAGCAGGCGCGAAACCUUCACAAUGUGCGAAAGCGCGAUGAGGGGAUCCCAAGUGCUUGCUCGUAAGAGUAAGCUGUUUUUAUGUCUAAAAAGCAUAGAGAGUAAGGGCUGGGUAAGACGGGUGCCAGCCGCCGCGGUAAUACCUGCAGCUCAAGUAGUGACCGCUAUUAUUGGGCCUAAAACGUUCGUAGCCGGUUUGAUAAAUGCCUGGGUAAAUAGUGUAGCUUAACUAUACGAAUUCCGGGUAGACUGUUAAACUUGAGACCGGGAGAGGCUAGAGGUACUCCUGGGGUAGAGGUGAAAUUCUGUAAUCCUGAGGGGACCACCAGUGGCGAAGGCGUCUAGCUAGAACGGGUCUGACGGUGAGGAACGAAGCCCUGGGGCGCGAACCGGAUUAGAUACCCGGGUAGUCCAGGGUGUAAACGCUGCUUGCUUGAUGUUAGUUGGGCUCCGAGCCCAAUUAGUGUCGGAGAGAAGUUGUUAAGCAAGCUGCCUGGGAAGUACGAUCGCAAGAUUGAAACUUAAAGGAAUUGGCGGGGGAGCACAGCAACGGGUGGAGCGUGCGGUUUA